rnacentral:rRNA from 1 species
UGAGUAACCUGCCCUUAACUCUGGGAUAAGCCUGGGAAACUGGGUCUAAUACCGGAUAUGACUCCUCAUCGCAUGGUGGGGGGUGGAAAGCUUUUUUGUGGUUUUGGAUGGACUCGCGGCCUAUCAGCUUGUUGGUGAGGUAAUGGCACACCAAGGCGACGACGGGUAGCCGGCCUGAGAGGGUGACCGGCCACACUGGGACUGAGACACGGCCCAGACUCCUACGGGAGGCAG